GAUGAACGCUGGCGGCGUGCCUAAUACAUGCAAGUCGAGCGAACAGACGAGGAGCUUGCUCCUCUGACGUUAGCGGCGGACGGGUGAGUAACACGUGGAUAACCUACCUAUAAGACUGGGAUAACUUCGGGAAACCGGAGCUAAUACCGGAUAAUAUAUUGAACCGCAUGGUUCAAUAGUGAAAGACGGUUUUGCUGUCACUUAUAGAUGGAUCCGCGCCGCAUUAGCUAGUUGGUAAGGUAACGGCUUACCAAGGCGACGAUGCGUAGCCGACCUGAGAGGGUGAUCGGCCACACUGGAACUGAGACACGGUCCAGACUCCUACGGGAGGAAGCAGUAGGGAAUCUUCCGCAAUGGGCGAAAGCCUGACGGAGCAACGCCGCGUGAGUGAUGAAGGUCUUCGGAUCGUAAAACUCUGUUAUUAGGGAAGAACAAAUGUGUAAGUACCUAUGCACGUCUUGACGGUACCUAAUCAGAAAGCCACGGCUAACUACGUG
rnacentral:rRNA from 1 species